UAUCAUCUGUUUCUUAAAUAUUUAUUGAAUUUGACUUUUAAGUGAAAAGGCUUAAAUAAAACAAAAAGACGAUAAGACCCUAUAAAUCUUUACAAUAAAUAUAUUUUAUAUUUUAGCUUAUAAGUGUAUAAGAAAUAAAAAUAUAGGUUUGUUGCGCUGGGGCGGCGUAGAUAUAUAAAUAAACUGUCUAUAAUUUAAAUACAAUAAUUAUUGCUUAAUACAAAUUGAUCCUUAAAUAGAUUAAAAGAUUAAGAUACUUUAGGGAUAACAGCGUUAUUUUUUUUUGAGAGUUCUUAUCGAAGAAAAAGUUUGCGACCUCGAUGUUGAAUUAAAGUAUCUCUAUGGUGUAGCCGCUAUAAGAGAGAGUCUGUUCGACUUUUAAUACUUUA
rnacentral:rRNA from 1 species